UAGCCCCACCCCUCAAGCCUCUGGCAAUCUUUUCCCCGUAGUCGGACUGCACUCCCAGCUGUCGGAUAUUUCCUGUCAGUCAACAUUUCCCCGACCUUUUCCCACACAUCCAGGACGAAAAGGCUUUGUGGCUAACAGGAGAUGACAAAUGAACAUGUGCCCUCCUCCUCGUGAGUGUGUCCUGCCAGCGGCUGCUUCUGUUCACUGCCCAGCCCACAAGCAGAUCUGAGCGGAUCGCCAGCAACUGCGUUGGAGGACACUUCACACAUAGCGAGCCGGUGCCUGGCUGACCGGUGGAUCUGCCCUUCAGUGACAAGUCAGGGAAAACCCAAGCAAAUGAAAUCAUCCCUCCCUGAGCAACUCUAUGGAAAAUGACUUGCUGACCUGAGGGGCUGCCACUGUCAGUGCUCACUCAAGAUCAAGAACACUCUCCAGGAUGUUGGCAUAGAUGUGUCAAAGAGGACCUUCAAGAGACGACUACACCAGCAUAACCUCAGAGAGAAAAAAAAUUGCCC